rnacentral:lncRNA from 10 species
ACCAAUAGGUGAUGUCUGGGAAGGUUGUGAGCCCAUAGUGCUCAGCCUAUGAGGAACUCGGGGAGGGACCUGCACACUAGGGGAUACAUUGUUUGUUGAAACUGCACUGGGUGUGCCUGCCCAUCAGACACCCAAUCUUGCAAGACCAUCAUUAAAAGUCUCACUUCUGCUGUUCUUCGGGUCUCUGAGUCCGUUCUUUGGGUUUGGACGGAUGAGUCUGUUUCUCACAGAUGCACCAGUGUUCAGGAGGAACUGAAUGUCUCACUCGGGGAACAGGCUAUAUUGGCAGGAGUGAAGUCUUGGGUCUGGUCCUCCCUCUACCCAGAGGUGUGCUGAGCAGUGGUGUGUCUCUAGACAGUGUUCUGAAAGGCUGAAAGUCUGCCUUUGUGUGCAAUGAGAACCACACAGGGCUGGCACACACAAGGACUUGCUCACAGGUGGCCAAACGUGAAAUGAAUGAAUCCUACUUCCUGGCAGAAUUCAUUGCUGGCAGAUGCUACCUAAAAUACAACAAAAAUAUCCAAGGCUUGGUUCUCACAGGUUAAAUCCUCAGAAGACUGGAUAUGUAAGGUGUUUCCUAACUUUAAAAUGACCUAGCAGGCCGAGUGCAGUGGCUCAUGCCUGUAAUCCCAGCACUUUGGGAGACUGAGGUGGGUGGAUCGUUUGAGGCCAGGAGUUCGAGACCAGCCUGGCCAGCAUGGCGAAACCCUGUCUAUACUAAAAAUACAAAAAUUAGCCAGGCAUGGUGGUAGGCACCUGUAAUCUCAGCUACUUGGGAGGCUGAGGCAGGAGAAUCACGGGAACCUGGGAGGCGGAGGCUGCAGGGAGUCGAGAUCUCACCACUGCACUCCAGCCUGGGUGACAGAGCGAGACACUGUCUCAAAAAAAAAAAAAAAAAAAAAAAACCUAGCAAAUUAGAAUACAUCAUUCAAUAUUUGAUCAAAAGAUCAAUAAGAUAAGGGGUCAUUCCAGACCAUCUGCCCAAAGAAACUCCUGCUGAAGUAUUCGCCUCUUUCUAGCUGUCAAUCUUUUUGGUGCCUGUUCUCUCUCAAUCUAAGCUUUACAAAAAAUGCUACAUGCACCCUCUUGGUGGCUUUUUUUUUUUUUUGGCAAUCCCUGUGAAAGCUUCUGAUACCUCAAUAUCUCAGGGAACAUUUCAAAUAAUCCAAACAUUUUAUGAGUUCUGGACCUGAGAGGAAUCAAGAUGUGGCUGACGGCAGGAAUCGUGAGCGUUCUCAAAGUAUAUGAACUGCACCACCUUCCCUAACAGGCAGCGGGAGCAGAAGGCCAGCAAUUGAAAACACGGGUCACAGCACCUUUUAUUCGUCAUCAUACAACCUGAUGUGACAGGAAAUACAGCCAA